rnacentral:rRNA from 1 species
UGGGGAAUCUUAGACAAUGGGGGCAACCCUGAUCUAGCCAUGCCGCGUGAGUGAUGAAGGCCUUAGGGUUGUAAAGCUCUUUCAGCUGGGAAGAUAAUGACGGUACCAGCAGAAGAAGCCCCGGCUAACUCCGUGCCAGCAGCCGCGGUAAUACGGAGGGGGCUAGCGUUGUUCGGAAUUACUGGGCGUAAAGCGCACGUAGGCGGACUGGAAAGUCAGAGGUGAAAUCCCAGGGCUCAACCUUGGAACUGCCUUUGAAACUAUCAGUCUGGAGUUCGAGAGAGGUGAGUGGAAUUCCCGAGUGUAGAGGUGAAAUUCGUAGAUAUUUCGGAGGAACACCAGUGGCGAAGGCGGCUCACUGGCUCGAUACUGACGCUGAGGUGCGAAAGCGUGGGGAGCAAACAGGAUUAGAUACCCCCGGUAGUCCACGCCCGUAAAACGAUGAAUGCCCAGACGUCGGCAAGCAUGCUUGUCGGUGUCACACCUAACGGAUUAAGCAUUCCGCCCUGGGGGAGUACGGUCGCAAGAUUAAAAACUUAAAGGAA